rnacentral:rRNA from 1 species
GAUGAACGCUGGCGGCGUGCCUAAUACAUGCAAGUCGAGCGAACGGACGAGAAGCUUGCUUCUCUGAUGUUAGCGGCGGACGGGUGAGUAACACGUGGAUAACCUACCUAUAAGACUGGGAUAACUUCGGGAAACCGGAGCUAAUACCGGAUAAUAUUUUGAACCGCAUGGUUCAAAAGUGAAAGACGGUCUUGCUGUCACUUAUAGAUGGAUCCGCGCUGCAUUAGCUAGUUGGUAAGGUAACGGCUUACCAAGGCAACGAUGCAUAGCCGACCUGAGAGGGUGAUCGGCCACACUGGAACUGAGACACGGUCCAGACUCCUACGGGAGGCAGCAGUAGGGAAUCUUCCGCAAUGGGCGAAAGCCUGACGGAGCAACGCCGCGUGAGUGAUGAAGGUCUUCGGAUCGUAAAACUCUGUUAUUAGGGAAGAACAUAUGUGUAAGUAACUGUGCACAUCUUGACGGUACCUAAUUAGAAAGCCACGGCUAACUACGUGCCAGCAGCCGCGGUAAUACGUAGGUGGCAAGCGUUAUCCGGAAUUAUUGGGCGUAAAGCGCGCGUAGGCGGUUUUUUAAGUCUGAUGUGAAAGCCCACGGCUCAACCGUGGAGGGUCAUUGGAAACUGGAAAACUUGAGUGCAGAAGAGGAAAGUGGAAUUCCAUGUGUAGCGGUGAAAUGCGCAGAGAUAUGGAGGAACACCAGUGGCGAAGGCGACUUUCUGGUCUGUAACUGACGCUGAUGUGCGAAAGCGUGGGGAUCAAACAGGAUUAGAUACCCUGGUAGUCCACGCCGUAAACGAUGAGUGCUAAGUGUUAGGGGGUUUCCGCCCCUUAGUGCUGCAGCUAACGCAUUAAGCACUCCGCCUGGGGAGUACGACCGCAAGGUUGAAACUCAAAGGAAUUGACGGGGACCCGCACAAGCGGUGGAGCAUGUGGUUUAAUUCGAAGCAACGCGAAGAACCUUACCAAAUCUUGACAUCCUUUGACAACUCUAGAGAUAGAGCCUUCCCCUUCGGGGGACAAAGUGACAGGUGGUGCAUGGUUGCCGUCAGCUCGUGUCGUGAGAUGUUGGGUUAAGUCCCGCAACAAGCGCAACCCUUAAGCUUAGUUGCCAUCAUUAAGUUGGGCACUCUAAGUUGACUGCCGGUGACAAACCGGAGGAAGGUGGGGAUGACGUCAAAUCAUCAUGUCCCUUAUGAUUUGGGCUACACACGUGCUACAAUGGACAAUACAAAGGGCAGCGAAACCGCGAGGUCAAGCAAAUCCCAUAAAGUUGUUCUCAGUUCGGAUUGUAGUCUGCAACUCGACUACAUGAAGCUGGAAUCGCUAGUAAUCGUAGAUCAGCAUGCUACGGUGAAUACGUUCCCGGGUCU